rnacentral:rRNA from 1 species
AGUCGAACGGGAAGCCGGUGCUUGCACCGGUGGAGAGUGGCGAACGGCUGAGUAACACGUAGGAACCUACCCCUCGGACUGGGAUAACGGGCCAAAAGGCCCGCUAAUACCGGAUAUAUUCUUCGGAAGGAAAUGGUCCGCCGCCGGGGGAAGGGCCUGCGGCGCAUUAGCUUGAUGGUGGGGUAACGGCCUACCAUGGCAAUGAUGCGUAGCUGGUCUGAGAGGACGAUCAGCCAGACUGGGACUGCGACACGGCCCAGACUCCUACGGGAGGCAGCAGUUCAGAAUCUUGCCCAAUGGACGAAAGUCUGAGGCAGCCAUGCCGCGUGUGCGAAGAAGGCCCUCGGGUCGUAAAGCACUGUCAGGAGGGACGAUAAUGACGGUACCUCCAGAGGAAGCCACGGCUAAUUCCGUGCCAGCAGCCGCGGUAAUACGGAAGUGGCGAGCGUUAUCCGGAAUCACUGGGCGUAAAGCGUUCGUAGGCGGCGUAGUAAGUCGGCUUUGAAAGCCCGGGGCUCAACUCCGGAA